rnacentral:lncRNA from 1 species
UACAUUCGAACUUAAUUUACAUACAUCAAAGUUUACUUUCCAAGGUACGUGACCUUCAAAUACAUUCCUUACAAUACCUGACAAUAGAUUCCAUUGUCUUACUAACUAUAACCAUUAACUCAUAAUAUAAACUCAUUUGAACAACUUUCCUUUCCCCUUGUUCGUGCCUGAGCCUUCAGGUUGAUCGUACGGAACUGAAAACAUUUAGUUUAAGCAAGGAUGAGCAUUUGAGUGCCCAGCAAGUAACAGCAAUUAUAUAUAUAAGCUGAAAGAAUAUAAGUAUUCUCUUUACAUAACACUUCUACAACGAAUCGAAAGUUGUGAAGUAAUCUGUACUGAUAAAAAUUCACAUAACAA